GACGAACGCUGGCGGCGUGCUUAACACAUGCAAGUCGAACGGGGAUCCAAGAAAGAGCUUGCUCUUUCUUGGAUUCUAGUGGCAAACGGGUGAGUAACACGUAAACAACCUGCCUUCAGGAUGGGGACAACAGACGGAAACGACUGCUAAUACCGAAUACCUUCCAAUUUCCGCAUGGAGAUAGGAAGAAAGGGUGGCCUCUACUUGUAAGCUAUCGCCUGAAGAGGGGUUUGCGUCUGAUUAGCUAGUUGGUGAGGUAACGGCCCACCAAGGCGACGAUCAGUAGCCGGUCUGAGAGGAUGAACGGCCACACUGGAACUGAGACACGGUCCAGACUCCUACGGGAGGCAGCAGUGGGGAAUCUUCCGCAAUGGACGAAAGUCUGACGGAGCAACGCCGCGUGAACGAUGAAGGUCUUCGGAUUGUAAAGUUCUGUGAUCCGGGACGAAGGCAUCAGUUGAGAAUAUUGACUGAUGUUGACGGUAC
rnacentral:rRNA from 1 species